rnacentral:rRNA from 1 species
GACGAACGCUGGCGGCGUGCUUAACACAUGCAAGUCGAACGGAAAGGCCCUGCUUUUGUGGGGUGCUCGAGUGGCGAACGGGUGAGUAACACGUGAGUAACCUGCCCUUGACUUUGGGAUAACUUCAGGAAACUGGGGCUAAUACCGGAUAGGAGCUCCUGCUGCAUGGUGGGGGUUGGAAAGUUUCGGCGGUUGGGGAUGGACUCGCGGCUUAUCAGCUUGUUGGUGGGGUAGUGGCUUACCAAGGCUUUGACGGGUAGCCGGCCUGAGAGGGUGACCGGCCACAUUGGGACUGAGAGACGGCCCAGACUCCUACGGGAGGCAGCAGUGGGGAAUAUUGCACAAUGGGCGGAACCCUGAUGCAGCAACGCCGCGUGCGGGAUGACGGCCUUCGGGUUGUAACCCGCUUUCGCCUGUGACGAAGCGUGAGUGACGGUAAUGGGUAAAGAAGCACGGGCUAACUACGUG